rnacentral:lncRNA from 1 species
AUCCAAGUGCGCGCCCUGGCGGGUCCGGACCAAGGUAAAUGUGCAGUUCCGGGGCGGCGCAUGACGCGACUGGGACUAGGCCGGAGGCAGCGGGGGACCGGCAGGUGGGCCGCUCAGUGCGUUGAAGGAUUCGAUCCCCAGUCCCUCCCUCCCAGUUCUAGGCGCCCCAAACCGCUCCAGGCCUGAGAGGCUGUAGGUUCCAUGAGGACAGGCCUUGAGUCUGUCCUGGUCUCUGGAAUCACGGUGUCUAGUAGAGGCCAGCACACAGCAAAUAUAUAAAUGUACAAAUGAGUGAAUGAAGAGAAUCUGAUUGGCCUUAAGGAACUUACGCACUUAAAAUAAUUGGGCAGAAGAGAAGCAGUGAAGGAGUGCAGAGGCAUCACCUGAAAGGGAUCACUGAGAUUCUGAUGAACAGACCUUCUGCCCGCAAUGCCUUGGGGAAUGUCUUCGUCAGUGAGCUGCUGGAAACUCUGGCCCAGCUGCGGGAGGACCGGCAAGUGCGUGUCCUGCUCUUCAGAAGUGGAGUGAAGGGCGUGUUCUGUGCAGGU